rnacentral:rRNA from 1 species
UACGUAGGGGGCAAGCGUUGUCCGGAAUCAUUGGGCGUAAAGCGCGUGUAGGCGGUUCGGUAAGUCCGCUGUGAAAGUCCAGGGCUCAACCCUGGGAUGCCGGUGGAUACUGUCGGGCUAGAGUACGGAAGAGGCGAGUGGAAUUCCCGGUGUAGCGGUGAAAUGCGCAGAUAUCGGGAGGAACACCAAUUGCGAAGGCAGCUCGCUGGGACGUCACUGACGCUGAGACGCGAAAGCGUGGGGAGCGAACAGG